UACGGAGGGGGCUAGUGUUACUCAUAUUGAUUUGGCGUAAAGGGUAUGUAGGCGGUUUUUUUAGUUAGAGCUUAAAUCCUAUGAUAAAAAUUAUAGAAGUGUUCUAAAACAAAUUAACUUAGAGUUUAAAAGAGGAUAACAGUACUUCUAGUCUAGGGGUAAAAUCUGCAGCGGAUUAGAGGGACUAUCGCGGGCGAAGGCGGUUAUCUGGUUUAAUACUGACGCUGAGAUACGAAGGUGUGGGUAGUCAAUGGG
rnacentral:rRNA from 1 species